GACGAACGCUGGCGGCGUGCUUAACACAUGCAAGUCGAACGGUAAGGCCCUUCGGGGUACACGAGUGGCGAACGGGUGAGUAACACGUGGGUGAUCUGCCCUGCACUUCGGGAUAAGCCUGGGAAACUGGGUCUAAUACCGGAUAGGACCACUGCCUGCAUGGGUGGUGGUGGAAAGCUUUUGCGGUGUGGGAUGGGCCCGCGGCCUAUCAGCUUGUUGGUGGGGUGAUGGCCUACCAAGGCGACGACGGGUAGCCGGCCUGAGAGGGUGACCGGCCAAACUGGGACUGCGAUACGGCCCAGACUCCUACGGGAGGCAGCAGUGGGGAAUAUUGCACAAUGGGCGCAAGCCUGAUGCAGCGACGCCGCGUGAGGGAUGACGGCCUUCGGGUUGUAAACCUCUUUCAGCACCGACGAAGCGCAAGUGACGGUAGGUGCAGAAGAAGGACCGGCCAACUACGUGCCAGCCGCCGCUGUAA
rnacentral:rRNA from 1 species